rnacentral:lncRNA from 7 species
AUAGGUGAGCUUUCAGGAGCACACAACGUUGAGUAAACUUUCUUGGAACUGCUUGUAGCUCAAAGGCCUUGAAAAGCCAGUCUGCUUUUCCUCACAAACCCCAGUGAACAUGAGAGUUAGCAUUCAAUCGUCAUGACAUCAGAGCUGCCAUUUGAGAGUGAUGGUGGUGGAGAACUCAUCCAGGAAGUUCAAAGGGAACUGAAAGGCAAAGGGAAUCGUUUCUGUCUCACCUUGUUGAUUACAAACCAGUUGGACUAAAGCAGGAACGCCAAGCAUAGCACGGUCAUGCAAACGUGUGUGAGCUGGAAAGCCGUGGUUGCUGAGGGCUGCUUAUCCCAUUUGCUGUACAAUGUCACCAAACAGAGCCAGGAGCAGAGGAGCUGUGUGCUCCUGAGACAAAUAGGAAAUUGGAACCCCAGUGACAUGGUUCUCAAGGUCUCCACAUCAUCCACUGCUGGCUUUGGCAGGGGGAGGAAGGCUGGUCACAUGCCAGCCCUCAGAGUGCCCAUCUGAAAACCUCAUUCAGCAGCUGAAGGAUAACUCACCUCCAUAUUUAUUAGGGGGUGUUACAAGAGAGGUGAAACUUAAUCUUUCUGUAAGAAUGAUUUUAGCUGAAACUUGCUAACACAAUUUGCCCCUAGGCUGGUACAAAGUAGGAAAAUAUCACCCAAGAGGGAUACUGUUUCAGAAAGUUGUCUACAUGAAAGAACCUGAAAGUUAUAAUGACGUUCCUGACAUAACCUUAACAGCUUGUGCUACCUGGAGCUUGCUAUAAUAAUGCAUCUUAUCUGACCCAAAUCCAACAACAAAUAAUUUUGUUCUCUUUUCCUGUGCAUUUUGCUGCUGGCUACACAUAAAAUUGAGUAUGUUCCAUUCAAAGAAUAUUAGUAUCUAGAUACCAAUUAUUCAUCCACUUGUAGGUACAAACAGACUAGCAAAGGGUAUUUCCUGAACGUAAUGACUUCAUUAAGCAAACUGGAAUGCAAAUAGCUCAGUAUUACUGAAACAAAGAGUUUUCAUAAGUUGAAGAGCAACGUAAGUGUGAGUGCUUCACUUUCAUGGAACAAAAUUGUGACUCUUUUGAUAAACGUUAUCACAAGACCAAACUGGGUGCAAUUAAAAUGUGUCUUGACUUAUGUAGUUGU